rnacentral:tRNA from 1 species
GAGGGGUGCAGUGGUCUGACAAUUUAUUUUGAAAGUAAAUUUUUAAAGUUUGAUUCUUUAGCUUCUUG